rnacentral:rRNA from 1 species
UGCGGAAGCGAACGCGGGUGAACUGAACAUCUAAGUAACCGCAGGAAAAGAAAUCAACCGAGAUUCCCAAAGUAGUGGCGAGCGAAAUGGGAUGAGCCUUGCACUCUUUAUUUGUAUUGUUAGCCGAACGCUCUGGAAAGUGCGGCCAUAGCAGGUGAUAGCCCUGUAGGCGAAAACAGUAUGAAAGAACUAGGUGUGCGACAAGUAGGGCGGGACACGUGAAAUCCUGUCUGAAGAUGGGGGGACCAUCCUCCAAGGCUAAAUACUCGUGAUCGACCGAUAGUGAACCAGUACCGUGAGGGAAAGGCGAAAAGAACCCCGGGAGGGGAGUGAAAUAGAUCCUGAAACCGCAUGCAUACAAACAGUCGGAGCCUCGUAAGGGGUGACGGCGUACCUUUUGUAUAAUGGGUCAGCGACUUACGUUCAGUAGCAAGCUUAACCGUAUAGGGCAGGCGUAGCGAAAGCGAGUCCGAAUAGGGCGUUCAGUUGCUGGGCGUAGACCCGAAACCAAGUGAUCUAUCCAUGGCCAGGAUGAAGGUGCGGUAACACGUACUGGAGGUCCGAACCCACUAACGUUGAAAAGUUAGGGGAUGAGCUGUGGAUAGGGGUGAAAGGCUAAACAAACUUGGAAAUAGCUGGUUCUCUCCGAAAACUAUUUAGGUAGUGCCUCGUGUCUCACCUUCGGGGGUAGAGCACUGUCAUGGUUGGGGGGUCUAUUGCAGAUUACCCCGCCAUAGCAAACUCCGAAUACCGAAGAGUGCAAUCACGGGAGACAGACAUCGGGUGCUAACGUCCGGGUGUCAAGAGGGAAACAACCCAGACCGCCAGCUAAAGGUCUCCCAAAAUAUAGCUAAGUGGGGAAAACCGAAAGUGGGGAAGGGCUAAAAACAGGUCAGGGAGGUUGGGCUUUAGAAGCAGGCACCCCUUUUAAAGAAA